UACGUAGGGGGCAAGCGUUGUCCGGAUUUAUUGGGCGUAAAGAGCGUGUAGGCGGCCAGGGAGGUCCGUUGUGAAAACUCGAGGCUCAACCUCGAGACGCCGAUGGAAACCCCCUGGCUAGAGUCCGGAAGAGGAGAGUGGAAUUCCCGGUGUAGCGGUGAAAUGCGCAGAUAUCGGGAAGAACACCCGUGGCGAAGGCGGUUCUCUGGGACGGUACUGACGCUGAGACGCGAAAGCGUGGGGAGCGAACAGG
rnacentral:rRNA from 1 species